UGAGGAAUAUUGGUCAAUGGGCGAGAGCCUGAACCAGCCAAGUAGCGUGCAGGAAGACGGCCCUACGGGUUGUAAACUGCUUUUAUGAAGGAAUAAAGUCACCCACGUGUGGGUGUUUGCAUGUACUUUAUGAAUAAGGACCGGCUAAUUCCGUGCCAGCAGCCGCGGUAAUACGGAAGGUCCGGGCGUUAUCCGGAUUUAUUGGGUUUAAAGGGAGCGUAGGCCGCCUGGUAAGCGUGUUGUGAAAUGUCGUUGCUCAACAACGUCACUGCAGCGCGAACUGGUCUUCUUGAGUACGCACAACGUGGGCGGAAUUCGUGGUGUAGCGGUGAAAUGCUUAGAUAUCACGAAGAACUCCGAUUGCGAAGGCAGCUCACGGGGAGCGCAACUGACGCUGAGCUCGAAAGUGCGGGUAUCGAACAGGAUUAGAUACCCUGGUAGU
rnacentral:rRNA from 1 species